rnacentral:rRNA from 1 species
AUUGAACGCUGGCGGCAGGCCUAACACAUGCAAGUCGAACGAGUGGCGGACGGGUGAGUAAUGUCUGGGAAACUGCCUGAUGGAGGGGGAUCACUACUGGAAACGGUAGCUAAUACCGCAUACCAUCGGAUGUGCCCAGAUCGGAUUAGCUAGUAGGUGGGGUAACGACUCACCUAGGCGACGAUCCCUAGCUGGUCUGAUAGGAUGACCAGCAACACUGGAACGGAGACACGGUCAAGACUCCUAAGGGAGGAAGCAGUGGGGAAUAUUGCAGAAUGAGCGCAAGCCUGAUGCAGCCAUGCCGCGUGUAUGAAGAAGGCCUUCGGGUUGUAAAGUACUUUCAGCGGAGAGGCGUUACCCGCAGAAGAAGCACCGGCGAACUCCGUGCCAGCAGCCGCGGUAAUUC